rnacentral:rRNA from 1 species
UACAGAGGUCCCGAGCGUUGUUCGGAUUUACUGGGCGUAAAGGGCGCGUAGGCGGCCACCGCAAGUCGACUGUGAAAUCUCCGGGCUUAACCCGGAAAGGUCAGCCGAUACUGCGGGGCUAGAGUGCAGAAGGGGCAACUGGAAUUCUCGGUGUAGCGGUGAAAUGCGUAGAUAUCGAGAGGAACACCUGCGGCGAAGGCGGGUUGCUGGGCUGACACUGACGCUGAAGCGCGAAAGCUAGGGGAGCGAACGGG